AGUGAACGCUGGCGGUAGGCCUAACACAUGCAAGUCGAACGGCAGCACAGUAAGAGCUUGCUCUUACGGGUGGCGAGUGGCGGACGGGUGAGGAAUACAUCGGAAUCUACUUUUUCGUGGGGGAUAACGUAGGGAAACUUACGCUAAUACCGCAUACGACCUACGGGUGAAAGCAGGGGAUCUUCGGACCUUGCGCGAAUGAAUGAGCCGAUGUCGGAUUAGCUAGUUGGCGGGGUAAAGGCCCACCAAGGCGACGAUCCGUAGCUGGUCUGAGAGGAUGAUCGGCCACCCGGGAACUGAGACACGGUCCAGACUCCUACGGGAGGCAGCAGUGGGGAAUAUUGGACAAUGGGCGCAAGCCUGAUCCAGCCAUACCGCGUGGGUGAAGAAGGCCUUCGGGUUGUAAAGCCCUUUUGUUGGGAAAGAAAAGCAGCAGGUUAAUACCCCGCUGUUCUGACGGUACCCAAAGAAUAAGCACCGGCUAACUUCGUG
rnacentral:rRNA from 1 species